CCUACGGGAGGCAGCAGUGAGGAAUAUUGCUCAAUGGCCGUAAGGCUGAACCAGCCAAGUCGCGUGAAGGAAGACGGAUCUAUGGUUUGUAAACUUCUUUUAUAGGGGAAUAAAGGUAUCCACGUGUGGAUAUUUGCAUGUACCCUAUGAACAAGCAUCGGCUCACUCCGUGCCAGCAGCGGCGGUAGUAAGGAGGAUGCGAUGGUUAUCCGGAUUUAUUGGGUGUAAAGGGUGCGUAGGUUGUUUUUUAAGUCAGAGGUGAAAGUUUGUGGCUUAACCAUAAGAUUGCAGAUGAAACUGGAAGACUUGAGUGUAGUAGAGGAAGGCGGAAUUCGUGGUGUAGCGGUGAAAUGCGUAGAUAUCACGAAGAACUCCGAUGGCGAAGGCAGCUUACUAGGCCAUAACUGACACUGAGGCACGAAAGCGUGGGGAUCAAACAGGAUUAGAUACCCGAGUAGUC
rnacentral:rRNA from 1 species